rnacentral:rRNA from 1 species
AGUAAUGUCUGGGAAACUGCCUGAUGGAGGGGGAUAACUGCUGGAAACGGUAGCUAAUACCGCAUAACGUCGCAAGACCAAAGAGGGGGACCUUCGGGCCUCUUGCCAUCGGAUGUGCCCAGAUGGGAUUAGCUAGUAGGUGGGGUAACGGCUCACCUAGGCGACGAUCUCUAGCUGGUCUGAGAGGAUGACCAGCCACACUGGAACUGAGACACGGUCCAG